GACGAACGCUGGCGGCGUGCUUAACACAUGCAAGUCGAACGGUGAAGCGCCUUCCUUUUUGGUGGGUGUGGAUGAGUGGCGAACGGGUGAGUAACACGUGAGUAACCUGCCCCCUUCUUCUGGAUAACCGCAUGAAAGUGUGGCUAAUACGGGAUAUUCUGGGUCUGUCGCAUGAUGGGUCUGGGAAAGAUAUUGUUUCGGUGGGGGAUGGGCUCGCGGCCUAUCAGCUUGUUGGUGGGGUGAUGGCCUACCAAGGCGGUGACGGGUAGCCGGCCUGGGAGGGUGGACGGUCACACUGCGACUGAGACACGGCCCAGACUCCUACGGGCGGCAGCAGUGGGGAAUAUUGCACAAUGGGCGCAAGGCUGAUGCAGCGACGCCGCGUGAGGGAUGGAGGCCUUCGGGUUGUGAACCUCUUUCGCCAGUGAAGCAGGCCUGCCUCGUUUGUGGGUGGGUUGACGGUAGCUGGAUAAGAAGCGCCGGCUAACUACGUG
rnacentral:rRNA from 1 species